UAUUAGUGUGGGACACUUCAGGGUGCAGGA
rnacentral:piRNA from 2 species